rnacentral:lncRNA from 1 species
GAAUAUAAUAAUAUCACAUCCGAAGUUUUAGAUUCCAAAGAAUUAAAAUAAGGAUUGACAUUCGAAUCUUCAAACUUACACGAAACCUGAGAGUAUAGAACCCGAAUAGAACACGAACCUCUAUGGUGUAAAUAAAUAAAUGCUAGGAUGCCUUUUUCGGAAACUCGAAUAGGAACCAAAGUCGAACUCCAACCUAUGA